AGCCGGCUGUGCUGAGGAGGACCGGGGAGCGAGGACUGGGAAAAGAGACAAGGUCUUGCUCUGUUGCCCAGGCUGGAGUGCAGUGGUGUGAUCACGGCUCACUGCAACCUCAAACUCCUGGACUCAAGGGAUCCUCUUGCCUCAGCCUCCCAAAGUGCUGGAGUUACAGACAGGACCCACCACACCUGGCCAAAAUAUGCGGUUUUGUUGAAGAUGCUGCCUGCUUCAAUGCAUGUUUUGCACGUUAUGUAAGGAAUCUAGGGUCCAGACCAAUGACCAAUAUGGGAAUCAUGUUGGAGCCUGAAGCAAAAGAAAAAUGUGAGCCCCUAGACACACUUAUCAAAAUAUCCUCCCAUAUUUUGAACCAAGUGGAAAGGCUAAGAAAAGCUCUACAAUCACAUGACUAUAUCUAAAUCUCCAUGCUCCCCAAUCUAUGCACAUCCCAUUGUGAACCCUCAUAAACCCAUAAGGCAAGAAACGGCCAAGGUACCCAGGAACCUUGGGCUGAUUGGAAACAACUGUCCCCAUUGCACACACACAAAAAAUUUGCAUUAAAGUUGAUUUAUCUUCAUUAUUGAGUUUUUUGGCACUUCCUUCAAUUCUGUGCCCAAGGUGAGUGCCUCACUGCCCUAUCCUACUCCCGGCCCAUAUUGAGACCCCGGCCCAUAACUGACACCCCAUUUCCCGUUUGUCUCAUGAUGGUCUAGUGCCCCCUAGAGGUUGCUGUGCCAGGCAAGACCCUUGCUGGGGGUCCCCAAUGCAGCUCUGGCCCAGUCCUCUCCCCCACCGCCCUCUCACCACAUCUGGAAAGGUUCCUGGUAUUCCUGUCUCUGCUUCAACACUCUUCCACGCUAGCUGCAAUCGCCUGGGUCUCUCCACCUCUGAAACCUUUUCGUAAACCUCCCUCAUUGACUCAAGCUAUAUCCAGAACGUGUCUAUUCAUCACAACCCAAAAGCUUCUAACCAUUGGAGAAUUCAGUACUGGGAAGGAGAUGGUGGGCAUGGACCCAGAAUAUGGGAACUGACUGGCUGGGGCAGGUGAGGGAGCAGUGGUGGGGCAGAGGGCUCAGACAUGAGAGCAGGGGCUUCCUGGCAAGAAGCUGGCCUUCCCAGUUAGGAGGAAGCAAAGCUGCUGUCACAGUCACUGUGGGCCAGUGACGCCUUCAGGAAUCUGCUGCAGGAGUGAGGAGCCACAGGACAUGCAGAGAGGAGACGGAAGGGACACAGAGGCAUCCCAUGUAAGUCCCCACUCCAUCCCAUACGAGAGGGCCACCACCAUUGCCCACUCAUCAGCCACAUACCCCGAGCCCUCGUGGGACACAGAAGAAACCAAUGACACAGGAGAGUCCCACAUCCUCCCCCAACAUUCACCCACAGGCAGAUGCAAACUCAAGCGCUCUCUUAUCCAGUUGCUUACCAGACACUAAUGAAGAGGACUCUGUGUUGAAUGGUCAGUGUCUUUCCUGAUUUCAAAUAACUAGAACCAGCCAGGCACAG
rnacentral:lncRNA from 1 species